GACGAACGCUGGCGGCGUGCUUAACACAUGCAAGUCGAACGGAAAGGCUCCAGCUUGCUGGAGUACUCGAGUGGCGAACGGGUGAGUAACACGUGGGUGAUCUGCCCUGCACUUCGGGAUAAGCCUGGGAAACUGGGUCUAAUACCGGAUAGGACCGCACUUUGGUGUGUGUGGUGGGAAGGUUUUUCUGGUGUGGGAUGAGCUCGCGGCCUAUCAGUUUGUUGGUGGGGUAAUGGCCUACCAAGACGGCGACGGGUAGCCGGACUGAGAGGGUGGACGGUCACAUUGGGACUGAGAUACGGCCCAGACUCCUACGGGAGGCAGCAGUGGGGAAUAUUGCACAAUGGGGGAAACCCUGAUGCAGCGAGGCCGCGUGGGGGAUGAAGGCCUUCGGGUUGUAAACUCCUUUCGCUAGGGACGAAGCUUUUUGUGACGGUACCUGGAGAAGAAGCACCGGCUAACUACGUG
rnacentral:rRNA from 1 species